AUCAGUCUGUGGGUGCCUUGGUUCAGGUCUCAGUCUGCUCACUCACCAACAUGACUGUUCAUCUCAGCUUUCUUCUCAUCCUCACUGGACUCACAGGAAUUUGUAGCAUGACUACAAUCAGUCAAGUAUCAGUGAAGGCUGGAGAUUCAGUCACUAUCCCAUUUCUCUAUGACUCACAAUACAUGAACAACGUGAAAUACUUGUGUGAAGGAUAUUAUUGGUCCCACUGCUCAUAUGCAGUUAGAACAAACCAGCCAAAUUCAGGAAGGUUUUCAAUCUCUGAUGAUAAAAGCAGAAGAAUCUUCACUGUGACUAUAAAAGAUCUGACAGAAAGGGACAAAUAUUACUGGUGUGCUGUGGAGAUUGAUGGAGGGUCAGACGUUGGAGAGUAUUUUCAUCUGUCAGUCACAACAGGUACACCCAGUCUCUAUGUAAAUCAUCAGGAGAUUGCAGGACUUAAUGGACAAAAUGUAACCAUCAAUUGUAACUACAGUCACUCUGGAGAAAUAAAGUGGUGCAGGCUGGGCAGAUCCUGUGUAGCAGAUCAGUCUGGAUCAAUAGAUGGAACAAGAGUGACCAUCAGUAAAAGUGUCCCUAAUGUUUUCACUGUGACUAUGAGUGGACUGAGGACAGAGAGCAGCAGCUGGUAUUAUUGUGUCAAAGGAGACUUUCAGAUGCCGGUGCAUUUAACUGUUACUGAGCAACCUACCUUUAGUAAGUACUCAACAAGACAUUUAACCACAUUGUCACCCACUCCUGAACAUGUGAGUCACUCCUCUGUCUUUGCAAGCGACACACACACAGCUCAGGAUGGACACCAAAACCCUUUCAAUUUCUUGAAGAGCUUCAUCAUCCGUGUGAGCUUGUUGAUCUUUGUAAUGGUGACCUUGUUCAUCUGGUUUAUGUUCAAAAGAUACAAGCAGACCAAGGUAGAAUCAUCAGCCACAACAAUGGUAAAAUAUGCUUGUACAUUUCCCAAUAUCAUUUUUCACAGAGACGACUGCAUUACACCAUAGAAGUAGAGAGGAUAUCAACGUAUUUUCUGUUUGUUUACUUCAAGACUAUACUGUACCUUUUAUUGUUAAGAAGCAGCGGUAACUAUAAUUAGAAUUUAAUGUCUGAAUUAAAUUAUUUAGUGUUGUUAAGGUGGUCACGUAGAUGUAAAAUUGUGUAGUCAUAAAUGAAUUUGCUUCUCCUCCUUCAACAGACUGAAGAGGAAGUAAAAUACAUAAAAAAAACUUCAGGUUAGUGGUCGCGCAUGCAGAGAUUGAUGUGGAAGGAAUAUAAUAUUCUGUGGUAGGCGACAGACAAAGGGACACUUAUCACAUAUUGUAGUUCUAUAUUUUGUGCAGACCAUGUUGUUAGGCGUGUCACCAAGUCAAAAUGUGCCCUUUAAUUGAGUCACUUCCAAACUUGCAGUAUUUUUGCUUUGCAAUACAUAGUUUCUUUGUUCUUCCUUCCUCAUUUUUUUGUUUGUUGUCUAACAUGUUGAAAAGAUGUAGGUGUUAUGUACGCUUGCAUGUUGUCUCAGCACCAAGUUUGUUUGUUUAGUUUUUUCACCAUGCAUUUGUAGCUACCUCUGCAUAACUGCAAAACAUUACAAAGAAGCACUGACUUGGUUGUUUGACAAGGGCAAUAACAAGUCAAGCUUACACCCAAUAUAUGUAUAUUGGUUUCCUUGUUCUUAAUUCACAAUAAUAUAAUUCUGAUUUCUAUUUUCAGGAUGCUUAUAAACUCAGUAUACUAGGCACAGAUUAUAAUUAAUAUUUUUGAUACUGUUUUCAUUCCUUUAAAAAUCAAGGCACAUUUAUAUUUAACUGAAUAAAGAUUUUUUUUAAACUUG